rnacentral:tRNA from 1 species
GUGGCUCAGUGGUAGAGCACUUGCCUCACAUGUGUGAGGCACUGGGUUCAAUUCUCAGC